rnacentral:rRNA from 1 species
UGGGGAAUUUUGGACAAUGGGCGAAAGCCUGAUCCAGCAAUGCCGCGUGUGUGAAGAAGGCCUUCGGGUUGUAAAGCACUUUUGUCCGGAAAGAAAUCCUUGGCUCUAAUACAGUCGGGGGAUGACGGUACCGGAAGAAUAAGCACCGGCUAACUACGUGCCAGCAGCCGCGGUAAUACGUAGGGUGCAAGCGUUAAUCGGAAUUACUGGGCGUAAAGCGUGCGCAGGCGGUUUGCUAAGACCGAUGUGAAAUCCCCGGGCUCAACCUGGGAACUGCAUUGGUGACUGGCAGGCUAGAGUAUGGCAGAGGGGGGUAGAAUUCCACGUGUAGCAGUGAAAUGCGUAGAGAUGUGGAGGAAUACCGAUGGCGAAGGCAGCCCCCUGGGCCAAUACUGACGCUCAUGCACGAAAGCGUGGGGAGCAAACAGGAUUAGAUACCCUGGUAGUCCACGCCCUAAACGAUGUCAACUAGUUGUUGGGGAUUCAUUUCCUUAGUAACGUAGCUAACGCGUGAAGUUGACCGCCUGGGAAGUACGAUCGCAAGAUUAAAACUCAAAUGAAUUGACGGGGUCAUAGCUGUUUCCU